rnacentral:rRNA from 1 species
CGCGGCCUAUCAGCUUGUUGGUGAGGUAAUGGCUCACCAAGGCGACGACGGGUAGCCGGCCUGAGAGGGCGACCGGCCACACUGGGACUGAGACACGGCCCAGACUCCUACGGGAGGCAGCAGUAGGGAAUAUUGGGCAAUGGGCGAAAGCCUGACCCAGCGACGCCGCGUGAGGGAUGAAGGUCUUCGGAUUGUAAACCUCUUUCAGUAGGGAAGAAGCGAAAGUGACGGUACCUAAAGAAGAAGCACCGGCUAACUAUGUGCCAGCAGCCGCGGUAAUACAUAGGGCGCAAGCGUCGUCCGGAAUUAUUGGGCGUAAAGAGCUCGUAGGUCGUUUGUCGCGUCGAUUGUGAAAAUCUGAGGCUCAACCUCAGACCUGCAGUCGAUACGGGCAAACUAGAGUGUGGUAGGGGAGACUGGAAUUCCUGGUGUAGCGGUGGAAUGCGCAGAUAUCAGGAGGGACACCAAUGGCGAAGGCAGGUCUCUGGGCCAUAACUGACACUGAGGAGCGAAAGUGCGGGGAGCGAACAGGAUUAGAUACCCUGGUAGUCCGCACCGUAAACGGUGGGCACUAGUUGUGGGAACCUUCCACGGUUUCCGCGACGCAGCAAACGCAUUAAGUGCCCCGCCUGGGGAGUACGG